rnacentral:rRNA from 1 species
AUGAACGCUGGCGGCGUGCUUAACACAUGCAAGUCGAACGAAGCAUUUAAGACAGAUUACUUCGGUUUGAAGUCUUUUAUGACUGAGUGGCGGACGGGUGAGUAACGCGUGGGUAACUUGCCUCAUACAGGGGGAUAGCAGCUGGAAACGGCUGGUAAUACCGCAUAAGCGCACAGUACCACAUGGUACAGUGUGAAAAACUCCGGUGGUAUGAGAUGGACCCGCGUCUGAUUAGCUUGUUGGCGGGGUAACGGCCCACCAAGGCGACGAUCAGUAGCCGACCUGAGAGGGUGACCGGCCACAUUGGGACUGAGACACGGCCCAGACUCCUACGGGAGGCAGCAGUGGGGAAUAUUGCACAAUGGAGGAAACUCUGAUGCAGCGACGCCGCGUGAGUGAAGAAGUAGUUCGCUAUGUAAAGCUCUAUCAGCAGGGAAGAUAGUGACGGUACCUGACUAAGAAGCUCCGGCUAAAUACGUGCCAGCAGCCGCGGUAAUACGUAUGGAGCAAGCGUUAUCCGGAUUUACUGGGUGUAAAGGGAGUGUAGGUGGCCAGGCAAGUCAGAAGUGAAAGCCCGGGGCUCAACCCCGGGACUGCUUUUGAAACUGCAGGGCUAGAGUGCAGGAGGGGCAAGUGGAAUUCCUAGUGUAGCGGUGAAAUGCGUAGAUAUUAGGAGGAACACCAGUGGCGAAGGCGGCUUGCUGGACUGUAACUGACACUGAGGCUCGAAAGCGUGGGGAGCAAACAGGAUUAGAUACCCUGGUAGUCCACACCGUAAACGAUGAUUACUAGGUGUUGGAGGAUUGACCCCUUCAGUGCCGCAGUUAACACAAUAAGUAAUCCACCUGGGGAGUACGACCGCAAGGUUGAAACUCAAAGGAAUUGACGGGGGCCCGCACAAGCAGUGGAGUAUGUGGUUUAAUUCGACGCAACGCGUAGAACCUUACCAAGGCUUGACAUAUACAGGAAUAACUAAGAAAUUAGUUAGCUCUUCGGAGUCUGUAUACAGGUGGUGCAUGGUUGUCGUCAGCUCGUGUCGUGAGAUGUUGGGUUAAGUCCCGCAACGAGCGCAACCCUUAUCCUUAGUAGCCAGCAGUCCGGCUGGGCACUCUAGGGAGACUGCCAGGGAUAACCUGGAGGAAGGUGGGGAUGACGUCAAAUCAUCAUGCCCCUUAUGACUUGGGCUACACACGUGCUACAAUGGCGUAAACAAAGUGAAGCGAGAGUGUGAGCUUAAGCAAAUCACAAAAAUAACGUCUCAGUUCGGAUUGUAGUCUGCAACUCGACUACAUGAAGCUGGAAUCGCUAGUAAUCGCAGAUCAGAAUGCUGCGGUGAAUACGUUCCCGGGUCUUGUACACACCGCCCGUCACACCAUGGGAGUCGGAAAUGCCCGAAGUCGGUGACCUAACGUAAGAAGGAGCCGCCGAAGGCAGGUCUGAUAACUGGGGUG